CAUGCAAUUCACGUUAGAAGAGAAGAGAAGAAAGAAAGUUUUACUUUCUUUACAAUUUAGUCCUUCCACAAAAAAAUCAUCAUUUUUAUCUAGAAAUCAAAAGAAUUUCCAUAUCCAUCAAGAGAGAAAGAUAACAAGGAGACUAUGGGGAGCUAGAAUAUCAAGUUAGAUUCAAGAAAUAGAAGCUGGAGGAGAGAGAAAAUCAAGUUAAAGAUUAAAAUCAAUAUGACAAGGAAAUUAAUCAAAGGAGCUCCACGUGGAUGAAUAGCUAUAAUAUGGCAACAUGCAGGAGUGGCGAUCAACAAACCGAAGAGCACCGGCUUUUGGAUGAAACAAUUUCUAAAACUCGAUUGGCAGCCAUUGCUGGGGCAAACAAACUGCUUUUCACCAUGUCAGAAAACUUCAAGUAUCGGAGUAAUCAAGGAGAUGGUGGGUUGAAGGAAUUAUUGAAGAUUGUUGAACAACCAAAAGAACAGUGGAUUCUUUGGAACACAAACCUUCUUAUUCCAAUAUUUUCCAG